AUGCUUGAUUUUCAAGAACUUAUAUUUUGUCAACAUUCACUAAUUCAUGGAAGAAAGCAAAGCAACUCCAUUUAGAUUCACAUGGAGAAUUAACAACUUUUCCAAAUUGACUGAAAAAAAACUGUAUUCGGAGGUUUUCUGUGCUGGCGGUUGUAAUUGGCGUUUGAUUAUUUUCCCCAAAGGAAACAAUGUGGAUUUUUUGUCCAUAUACCUGGCUGUUGCUGAUUCAACAACUUUGCCACAAGGAUGGAGUAGAGAUGCAAAAUUUAGCUUGGCAGUUGUUAACCAAUUCAAUAACACGUCCACAGUCAAAAAAGACACAAAACAUGUAUUCAAUGCAUUGGAAGACGAUUGGGGUUUCACAUCUUUCAUUCCUCUUAGCAAAGUGAAAAAUCCUGCAGAAGGGUAUCUUGUGGGAGAUACCCUUAUAGUUGAAGCCGAGGUUCUUGUUUAUAAUGUCCAG
rnacentral:misc_RNA from 1 species